GUUGAACGCUGGCGGCAUGCCUAACACAUGCAAGUCGAGCGGAUGAAGGGGACUUGCUCCUGUCUUCAGUUGCCGACGGGUGGGUAAUUCCUAGGAAUCUGCCUUGUAUUUGGGACUAACGUCCGUACACGGGCCCUAAUCUAGCAUCCGUCCUUAUUUUGAACGUGGUGGUUCUUCAGACAUAGCCGUUUUUGCUGUGACUAGGUCGGAUUAGCUAGUUGGUUAGGUAAAGGCUUACCAAGGCGACGAUCCAUAACUGGUCUGAGAGGAUGAUCUGGCACACUGGAACUGAGACACGGUCCAGACUCCUACGGGAGGCAGCAGUGGGGAAUAUUGGACAAUGGGCGAAAGCCUGAUGCAGCCAUGCCGCGUGAGUGAAGAAGGUCUUCGGAUCGUAAAGCACUGUAAGUAGGGAGGAAGAGAAGUAAGAUAAAAUCUGGAUGUCUUGACGGUACCAAAAGAAAAAGCAACGGCUAACUUCGUG
rnacentral:rRNA from 1 species